UACGUAGGGGGCAAGCGUUAUCCGGAUUUACUGGGUGUAAAGGGAGCGUAGACGGUAAUGUAAGUCUGAUGUGAAAGCCCGGGGCUCAACCCCGGGACUGCAUUGGAAACUAUGUAACUAGAGUACCGGAGAGGUAAGCGGAAUUCCUAGUGUAGCGGUGAAAUGCGUAGAUAUUAGGAGGAACACCAGUGGCGAAGGCGGCUUACUGGACGGAAACUGACGUUGAGGCACGAAAGCGUGGGGAGCAAACAGG
rnacentral:rRNA from 1 species